ACUACUAUAUGUGAAGAUGUUGUAAUAUUUGUCUAAUUUUUGGGGUACCUCUAACGUUACAAUUAUACACUAUGUCUCUUAGUAAAGCAGUAUUACAUCGGAAUAUUUUGUUGAAGACUCUAGCAUUUCUUUCCAGCCAGAUAGCAUAUGCAAACUCAGCUAUGACCACUUUGAAGGUGGCAGCUCGAGGUGUUCGACCUUUGGCUUUGCCUAUCAACCAUUGCAUUUUUUGGUUCCAGUAAGAUUUUGGUGUUUCCUGGAGCCAGUUCAUUGUUCUUUCCCAUAAGUCCACAGUGACAGGGCAGUUCAUUAAUAAGUGAUCUCUUGAUUCCGGGUGGCUUUGGCACAAUGGGCACUGCUGAUCGAUAGUCAUUCCCCAGCUGUGUAGUCUGUCCUUUGUUGGGAGUCUAUCCUGGAGGAAUAACCAUAGAUUGAAUGUUGCUUUUGGCCUUGCUUGGUGCUGUAUGAUUAAGUUCUUCCAUGUCACUCUUGGCAUUGUUUGCAUCUUUGGUACAACUGUCUUGUCGAGCACUUCUGUUCCUUCCAAUUCUGGAUCCUUUGUAGAACAUCUCUAGCUUGGAUAAUUUUCCUCACCAUCCAACUAGCUUGGGCAGGAAUUGGAAUGGAUUCUAUUGGUCUGACCUAGAUGUAGGAGACAGUGAUCCACCUGAUCCACAACUUGUCCUUUUUAUGUGCUAGAUCCUAGCAGGUCUUUGCAAUGGCAGCUUUGUUCCAGAGCUUUAGGUUAGUUAGGUUCGUCCCCCCAACUGAUUUCGGGGUAUACAUUUUGUCCCAAGAGAUGUAGGCUUUCUUAGUUACAGUAUUCAUCCCGGACCAAAUAAAACUCCUACAGAUACCUUCAAUCAUUUUGAGCACUUUCACGGGCAAUAUAAACAGCUGUGCGCAGUUAGCUUGGAUCCCAAAUAUUACAGAUUGUACAAGCUGUAGCCUCCCAGAGUAAGACAAUGUCCUGGCAGUCCAGGAUGUGAUUUUUGCUGUGAUUCUGUCCACUAAUGGUUUCCAUUGCAGCAUUGUGAUUUUCUUGGUGGACAGUGGGACUCCAAGGUAUUUAAAAGGCAGUGGUCCUUGUUCAUAACCCAGGUGAUCAAGAAUCUGUUGCUGUAUGGGCACUGGUACUCCACCAAAAUAUACUGAGCUUUUGUUCAGAUUUGCUUGGAGUCCUGAGGCUCCUGAGAACUGUGUGAAGAAAUUGGACAAUGCCUUGACAGAGUUGAGGCCACCUUUAACAAAUAGAAGUAGGUCAUCGGCAAAGCACAUAAGUGCCUUGACAGAGUUGAGGUCACCUUUAGCAAAGAGAAGUAAAUCAUCAGCAAGCACAUAUGUGUGAUGUCCAGCUUCUUGCAUCCGGGAUGGAAUGUAUAGGCCGGAUCAUCCUUUAGUGAGGAACGGGAUCUACUUAAGUACUCCAUGACAAGGCAAAAAGGUAGGGGGAUAUGGGAUCCCCUCGCCUCAGUCCUCUGGCAGCAGCAAAAGGUAUGGUAGGUUCACCAUUAACUAACACAGAGAAGGGGGGGAGAUGGGAUCUCCUUGCCUCAGUCCUCUGGCAGCAGCAAAAGGUAUGGAAGGUUCACCAUUAACUAACACAGAGAAGGUAACUGUUGAGAUGCAUUCCAUGGUCCAUUUUGUGAAGGUGCUGGGGAAGCCAAUUUGCUCCAUAACUUGCUUCAGGAAUGUCCAUUCAACUGUAUCAUAUGCUUUCUGGAGGUCGAUUUUAAUCAUACAUCUAGAGGAAACAUUCUGCCUAGUAUAGCUUUUUACAAGCUCAUGUGCUAGGAUGAUGUUAUCCUGAAUCUUUCUUCCUGGGAUGAAACCUACCUGAGCUUCACUGAUAAUACUUGUCAUUACCUUCUGCAGCCUAUUUGCUAGGAUUUUUGAGAUGAUCUUGUAUAGGACAGAACAACAGGCAAUAGGUCUGAACUCUUUGACUGUAGUUGGUUUGGAUAGUUUAGGAAUGAGGGUGAUAGUGGCACAGUUGAUUGGUUUGUACAUCCUAGCUGAUGUGAAGAACUGUUAGAUGUGAAGUUCUGCCCAUCAGUGCUUUGUAAAAGCCUAUGAUUUCCUCUUUGAUUUCCUCAGCUGUAGUGAGUUUGGUGCCCACUGCGUUAAUAAGCUCAGUG
rnacentral:lncRNA from 1 species